rnacentral:rRNA from 1 species
GACGAACGCUGGCGGCGUGCCUAACACAUGCAAGUCGAGCGAGUGGAGUUCUUCGGAACAAAGCUAGCGGCGGACGGGUGAGUAACACGUGGGCAACCUGCCUCAUAGAGGGGAAUAGCCUCCCGAAAGGGAGAUUAAUACCGCGUAAGAUUGUAGCUUCGCAUGAAGUAGCAAUGAAAGGAGCAAUCCGCUAUGAGAUGGGCCCGCGGCGCAUUAGCUAGUUGGUGAGGUAACGGCUCACCAAGGCGACGAUGCGUAGCCGACCGUGAGAGGGUGAUCGGCCACAUUGGGACUGAGACACGGCCCAGACUCCUACGGGAGGCAGCAGUGGGGAAUAUUGCACAAUGGGGGAAACCCUGAUGCAGCAACACCGCGUGAGUGAUGACGGCCUUCGGGUUGUAAAGCUCUGUCUUCAGGGACGAUAAUGACGGUACCUGAGGAGGAAGCCACGGCUAACUACGUGCCAGCCGCCGCCGUAAUAC